rnacentral:lncRNA from 1 species
CCAUAUGUUUCUGCAUAAUGUUGGUCCUACACUAGUAAUAGAACUAAACCGAAAAGCCACAAACAUUUAUUCACAUUCACAAGAGAUUCAGUCUUGGUCAUAUCAGUUCAUACACAACAGUGGAUACCAAAACCGAAAAAGGAAAUUUCAUUCACUCACAACAAUUGACAGAAAAUGUGUCCACUCCCUCAAAGAAGCUGCAACCUUAAGCCUGCACAACCAGAUUAGGAAUGAACAAGCUCAUCGGUUCCCUGCAUAAGUUCACACCAGCACAAAAACAAUCAAUACAAAACUAGAUCAACCCAAAUGUUCAUAACACAUUCUCUAAUAUCUGUCCAACAUACCUGUGAUGUAAUAGCCAAGAAUAUAAUGAAAGGAAGAAGUUGCGACUAAGUAAUAGGUUCCUCCAAUAAUAGCAGCAAGAUAUGAGUUGCAUCAAAACAAAAAUCCAACCAGUUAUUAUCUUGAACUAGAUUACACUAGUCAUCAAUGUGAUACACAAGUAUCAAGUUAUAUAUUCAUUUGGUUAAGCUCAUCUUAAUUAGUCUCUAAACAACAUCUUUUGGCGAUCAUGUUCGAAGGCAAAAGGUUCACAAAGACAGCAAUCAAUAAAAUUUUCAGCAUGGAAACUUUCAUUUCAUCUAAAAGAUCAACCAUCCAAAACUAUAGUUGCUCAUGUCCUCAACAAAGAUCAUAGAAUAGCAUAUACGAUAGCCCGCAGGUAAAAUGUAGGCAACAUAGGGCCUGAGUUAAGCAGUAUCAUUAACUACGAAAUGUGACAAACCGGGGCAUAGUUACCCCAGUUUUCUGGAGAUCCCUCUUGAAAACCACUACCAGGACAAGCACUUUAGCCGACGAAAAUUUUUUGUCGGCCUGUCAGCUUAAUUCGUCGGCUAAGAUCUUAGCCGACGACCUUUCGUCGGCUAAGAUUUCGUCGGGAAAAGCUCGUCUGUGGUGACUUUAGCCGACGACACACGUAUAAGUCGUCGGCUAUAGUCCAGACUUUAGCCGACGACAUUU